rnacentral:rRNA from 1 species
CCUACGGGUGGCAGCAGUGAGGAAUAUUGGUCAAUGGGCGCAAGGCUGAACCAGCCAAGUCGCGUGAGGGAUGACGGCCCUACGGGUUGUAAACCUCUUUUGUCAGGGAGUAAAGGGCGGCACGUGUGCCGUUUUGCGAGUACCUGAAGAAAAAGCAUCGGCUAACUCCGUGCCAGCAGCCGCGGUAAUACGGAGGAUGCGAGCGUUAUCCGGAUUUAUUGGGUUUAAAGGGUGCGUAGGUGGAAUGUCAAGUCAGCGGUAAAAUUUUGGGGCUCAACCUCGUCGUGCCAGUGAAACUGGCGGUCUUGAGUACGCUAGAAGUAUGCGGAAUGCGUGGUGUAGCGGUGAAAUGCAUAGAUAUCACGCAGAACUCCGAUUGCGAAGGCAGCCUACUGGCGCGCAACUGACGCUGAUGCACGAAAGCGUGGGUAUCGAACAGGAUUAGAUACCCUUGUAGUC